GAUGAACGCUGGCGGCGUGCCUAAUACAUGCAAGUCGAACGAAACUUCUUUAUCACCGAGUGCUUGCACUCACCGAUAAAGAGUUGAGUGGCGAACGGGUGAGUAACACGUGGGCAACCUGCCCAAAAGAGGGGGAUAACACUUGGAAACAGGUGCUAAUACCGCAUAACCAUAGUUACCGCAUGGUAACUAUGUAAAAGGUGGCUAUACUACCGCUUUUGGAUGGGCCCGCGGCGCAUUAGCUAGUUGGUAGGGUAAAGGCUUACCAAGGCAAUGAUGCGUAGCCGAAUUGAGAGGUUGAUCGGCCACAUUGGGACUGAGACACGGCCCAAACUCCUACGGGAGGCAGCAGUAGGGAAUCUUCCACAAUGGGCGAAAGCCUGAUGGAGCAACGCCGCGUGGGUGAAGAAGGUCUUCGGAUCGUAGAACCCUGUUGUUAGAGAAGAAAGUGCGUGAGAGUAACUGUUCACGUUUCGACGGUAUCUAACCAGAAAGCCACGGCUAACUACGUG
rnacentral:rRNA from 1 species